UGCAUCGGCCGGGAAUCGAACCCGGGCCGCCCGCUUGGCAGGCGAGCAUUCUACCACUAAGCCACCGAUGC
rnacentral:tRNA from 1 species